GAAGUUGGAACCAAAUCCAUAGAAUUUUAAGGUGAAGGCAUAUACAGAGAAACCCAUUAAACUUCAUUGAAAUAAAUUGCUCCCACGUAGUCUUUCAUGUAAUACAAGAUGAUAUGCAGAAUAAAAUGCGGUCCUAAUGCAUGAUACAUUGAUACAUGACUUAUUACACAUUUAAAUGACCCUUAUUCGACACAUUUUUCGCUGAAAAUGUAGCUGAUGCCUGUUGCCUGAAGCAUUAAUUAAUAAGAGAUGGUGGGGUGCCGGGAGAAAGUCCGAUCCCUCUUUUCAUGUUUGAAGUAGGUGCUGGAGGUAUACGAGUGUUUCUGUACCUAUAAAGCUUUUUUGUGGCAGUAAUUCCAAGCAGCUUUCGAUGAUGAAUCCCAUUAUUCUCUAGAUGCUUUAUAUCUGCAAGGACUGCAUACAUAAAAUCAAAAGAUAAGAAAAAAAAAAUAAAACAAAUUAGAAGAGAAAGGUAUGACAAAUGUGCUUAAUCGAUUAGAAGCACACCUGCAUUGCUGUUUUGGUCAAAGCAGCCAGUGAGAAGGAGAAAGGCGAUGAAAAUGGUGACUAAUGAUAGUCUUGGAAAUGAUCCCAUUGUUUCAAGCUUCAAAGUCUUAGCGACAAAGGAUGGGAGUACGAAC
rnacentral:lncRNA from 1 species